rnacentral:rRNA from 1 species
AUUGAACGCUGGCGGCAGGCCUAACACAUGCAAGUCGAACGAGUGGCGGACGGGUGAGUAAUGCCUGGGAAUCUGGCUUAUGGAGGGGGAUAACUACGGGAAACUGUAGCUAAUACCGCGUACCAUAGGAUGAGCCCAGGUGGGAUUAGUUAGUUGGUGGAGUAACGGCUCACCAAGCCGACGAUCACUAGCUGGUCUGAGAGGAUGACCGGCAACACUGGAAGUGAGACACGGACCAGACACCUACGGGAGGCAGCAGUGGGGAAUAUUGCACAAGGGGGGCAACCCUGACGCAGCCAUGCCGCGUGUAUGAAGAAGGCCUUCAGGUUGUAAAGUGCUUUCGGUAGAGAGGCGUUAGCUAAAGAAGAAGCACAGGCUAACUCCGUGCCAGCAGCCGCGGUAAUAC